rnacentral:rRNA from 1 species
CUUUGGGAUAAGCCUGGGAAACUGGGUCUAAUAGCGGAUAGGACCACAUGCUGCAUGGUGUGUGGUGGAAAGCUUUUGCGGUGUGGGAUGGGCCCGCGGCCUAUCAGCUUGUUGGUGGGGUGAUGGCCUACCAAGGCGACGACGGGUAGCCGGCCUGAGAGGGUGUCCGGCCACACUGGGACUGAGAUACGGCCCAGACUCCUACGGGAGGCAGCAGUGGGGAAUAUUGCACAAUGGGCGCAAGCCUGAUGCAGCGACGCCGCGUGGGGGAUGACGGCCUUCGGGUUGUAAACCUCUUUCAGUACCGACGAAGCGUAAGUGACGGUAGGUACAGAAGAAGCACCGGCCAACUACGUGCCAGCAGCCGCGGUAAUACGUAGGGUGCGAGCGUUGUCCGGAAUUACUGGGCGUAAAGAGCUCGUAGGUGGUUUGUCGCGUUGUUCGUGAAAACUCACAGCUUAACUGUGGGCGUGCGGGCGAUACGGGCAGACUGGAGUACUGCAGGGGAGACUGGAAUUCCUGGUGUAGCGGUGGAAUGCGCAGAUAUCAGGAGGAACACCGGUGGCGAAGGCGGGUCUCUGGGCAGUAACUGACGCUGAGGAGCGAAAGCGUGGGGAGCGAACAGGAUUAGAUACCCUGGUAGUCCACGCCGUAAACGGUGGGUACUAGGUGUGGGUUUCCUUCCUUGGGAUCCGUGCCGUAGCUAACGCAUUAAGUACCCCGCCUGGGGAGUACGGCCGCAAGGCUAAAACUCAAAGGAAUUGACGGGGGCCCGCACAAGCGGCGGAGCAUGUGGAUUAAUUCGAUGCAACGCGAAGAACCUUACCUGGGUUUGACAU